rnacentral:rRNA from 1 species
GGGCUCACACAAGCGGUGGAUGAUGUGGCUCAAUUCGAGGCUACGCGAAGAACCUUAUCCUAGUCUUGACAUGCACGGAUUAACCUGCCGAAAGGUAGGCCAGGCCUUCGGGUAUAACGUGCACAGGUGCUGCAUGGCUGUCGUCAGCUCGUGUCGUGAGAUGUCGGGUUAAGUCCCUUAACGAGCGAAACCCUUGUCGCUAGUUGCCAGCGAGUCAAGUCGGGGACUCUAGCGAGACUGCCGGUGUUAAACCGGAGGAAGGCGGGGAUGACGUCAAGUCCUCAUGGCCUUUAUGACUAGGGCUGCACACGUCAUACAAUGGCGCGCACAAAGCGACGCAAUCUCGUGAGAGCGAGCAAAUCGCAAAAAUCGCGCCCCAGUUCGGAUUGCAGGCUGCAACUCGCCUGCAUGAAGCCGGAAUCGCUAGUAAUCGCGGGUCAGCAUACCGCGGUGAAUGUGUUCCUGAGCCUU